GCCCCCUGCCGGCCGCGGAGGGCGCGCCUUGGAGGGAGAGGACUUUAGGUGACGCCGCCAGGAGGCGAAAUUUCACCUGCCAGCAGGUAAAAGGUAUUGCCCCGCCUCUCUAAUCGAUCCAUUCUUCCUAGGAAAGUGACUUCAGGCAGUAGUCACAUAAAAGAAAAAGCAAUACGUUGAGCAAUGCGUUUACUUCCCAAAGAUUAGAAACAACCCAAAUGUCUAGUGGCAGGUGAGGCAGAAGUACACUGAUUUCCGCCGUUGUUUAUUACCUAGGCCUUACUGGGUACCAGGUGGGUCUGGUGGAUGCACUUUUCAUGCUGUGUCUCAUUUUGUCUUCAAAACGACUGUAGCGGGUAUGUACUGUAACUUGCCCCACCUUGUGCAGAGAAGGACAUUUAGGCUUAUAUAAAUUAAGUAACUUGACCUAGACCACACUAUACAAAUGAAAAGAUUGUUAUUAUUGAUAGGAUUAAUCAUUUUAAGAAGGCUGGAUUUGCUUGCUUCUAUUUUAGCUGCUGAAAUUAGGAUUACUGUUUGGGAGACACUGCAGUUCAGUAUACGAUUACAAAACUUAAUACUUAGACUGGGUAGUUCAUGUAAAUGGACAUAGGAGGCUGGGGUAGACAAAAGGGAGGGGUGAGGACUGCAGUGAAAUUGGAAACACAUCCUUUAUUAAAAGGGGGCAGCUGCUACUCAUCUUUGGUAUGGCUAGAGUUUUAUGUGAAAAUUUCCACCUUUUACAUACUAGCAGCUAUAUUCGUUUUCUCUUGCUAUUAAUAAAUUACCACAAACUUACUGCCUUAACACAAAUUUAUUAUCUUCCAGCUCUGGAGGUCAAAAGAAAUGAGACUGCUGGGCUAAGAUCAAGGUGUCAGCAGGGCUGUAUUCCUUCCCAAGGCUCCAGGGGAGAAUCUGUUCACUUGCCUUUCCCAGCUUCUAGAGGUUGCCUACAUUCCUUGGCUUGCGGACCCUUCCUCCAUCUCCAGAAUCAGUAACGAAAGAUCCAAAGCCAUAUCCUGGCUGAGUUGGCUGAGUUGAGCAGGACACUGACAAGGAGGCUGCUGAGCCUGCAACUCGACUGUUCUGUUUGAGGAGCUCUGUGCUUUAUCAUAGAAAUGGAUCUGAGAUGUGGUCUCCCUAUGCUGCCCAGGCUCAUCUCA
rnacentral:lncRNA from 1 species